rnacentral:rRNA from 1 species
UGGGGAAUUUUGGACAAUGGGCGCAAGCCUGAUCCAGCCAUACCGCGUGAGUGAAGAAGGCCUUCGGGUUGUAAAGCUCUUUCAGACGGAAAGAAACGGUUACGGCUAAUACCCGUGACUAAUGACGGUACCGUAAGAAGAAGCACCGGCUAACUACGUGCCAGCAGCCGCGGUAAUACGUAGGGUGCGAGCGUUAAUCGGAAUUACUGGGCGUAAAGCGUGCGCGGGCGGUUGUGUAAGUCAGAUGUGAAAUCCCCGGGCUCAACCUGGGAAUUGCAUUUGAGACUGCACGGCUAGAGUGUGUCAGAGGGGGGUAGAAUUCCACGUGUAGCAGUGAAAUGCGUAGAUAUGUGGAGGAAUACCGAUGGCGAAGGCAGCCCCCUGGGAUAACACUGACGCUCAUGCACGAAAGCGUGGGGAGCAAACAGGAUUAGAUACCCCCGUAGUCCCUGAGCGGGCUGGCAAGGCGCAU